rnacentral:lncRNA from 1 species
AAGAGACUAAGUGGCUUCUGCAUCACGGUCAUUUUCUCAUGUUAUCCUUUCGUUAUCUGCUCCUUGCUGUGCGUUUCUCUUCGUGUUACACGAGGGGUGAUGCGUCCCAUGGUUGUGUAGUUAGUCGCUGUAGGAAGACGACGACGUCGAAACAGUGGUCAUGUAAUCACGACAUUCCACGUCCGUUUUUGUAUGAGACAACCAAUCCAGGGCAGCAGCUUCACCAAGUGUUCUGUCUGUUGGGCUGAUGGCCCAUAUUCAGCCCAUGUGGGCUUUAUCAGCCCACAGCCUACACCCUCUCUUAACCUAACCCUAAUUAAGAUUAGGGGGUGUGGUGGCUGCGUUUUAGAGGCAGAUUAAAGCUAUAAAAAGGCAGCAACGAGGCAGAUCUUGGAGGCCACGGGAUUCCAAAGAGAAGAAGGAGAUCAAGGCAGAAAAGGAAGAGAAAGAAAGGGAAGAAGACAAGGACAACGCAGAGAGAUUGUUCACAAUCAUCUAGCAGUGUUCUCAUCUCAGGUUAGAUCAUAUCUACAGUAGGCUCUUGCUGUGAUUACUUGGGAGGUUUUAGAUAUUGUGGGCAGUGACGUGAUCCUUGUAUCCCAGUUAUUCUCUUGUGGUUGUUGUUAGGGUUUUGGGCAAGAGAUUGAGAUUUGUAUAUUCAUUAUUCUCAUAGUGGAUUAUCUCUAGUUUGCCCCGUGG